UUACGGAGGGUGCAAGCGUUAAUCGGAAUUACUGGGCGUAAAGCGCGCGUAGGCGGUUAUUUAAGUCAGAUGUGAAAUCCCUGGGCUCAACCUAGGAACUGCAUCUGAUACUGGGUAACUAGAGUUUUGGAGAGGUAAGUGGAAUUUCCGGUGUAGCGGUGAAAUGCAUAGAGAUCAGAAGGAACACCAGUGGCGAAGGCGACUUACUGGCCAAAAACUGACGCUGAGGUGCGAAAGCGUGGGUAGCAAACAGGAUUAGAAACCCUAGUAGUCC
rnacentral:rRNA from 1 species